rnacentral:rRNA from 1 species
GACGAACGCUGGCGGCGUGCCUAAUACAUGCAAGUCGAGCGAAGUUUUUCUGGUGCUUGCACUAGAAAAACUUAGCGGCGAACGGGUGAGUAACACGUAAAGAACCUGCCUCAUAGACUGGGACAACUAUUGGAAACGAUAGCUAAUACCGGAUAACAGUAUUUCUCGCAUGAGAGAUAUUUAAAAGUUGGUUAUGCUAACACUAUGAGAUGGCUUUGCGGUGCAUUAGCUAGUUGGUGGGGUAAAGGCCCACCAAGGCGACGAUGCAUAGCCGACCUGAGAGGGUGAUCGGCCACACUGGGACUGAGACACGGUCCAGACUCCUACGGGAGGCAGCAGUAGGGAAUCUUCCGCAAUGGGCGAAAGCCUGACGGAGCAACGCCGCGUGAGUGAAGAAGGAUUUCGGUUCGUAAAGCUCUGUUGUUAGGGAAGAAUGGAUAUGUAGUAACUAUACAUGUAAGAGACGGUACCUAACCAGAAAGCCACGGCUAACUACGUG